CAUGACUGCAGGCUGGCUUUCCAAUCCAUUAGUGCCCUCCACAAGUCAAGUGUUGGACCACAGGAAAUGAAGAAGUAGAGCUUUGGUUUACAUAUGUUGACGUGAACAACUCAGUUGCACCCGUUAUGAGAGUAACUGCUCAGCUUAUGAUGAGUGAAUAGGUCAUCCAGCAAGAAACAGAAAACACAGAAAUGGACCUUCUUUGGGAGCAGGGUAGCAAGGUAUAACUCCGAUUUCAUUUAUAAUUUAAUAAUAAACAGCUGCAGACGCCAUGUCAGAUGAAAUAC
rnacentral:lncRNA from 1 species